rnacentral:lncRNA from 13 species
AUUUACAAUCUACGCAGGCGAGGUUGCGUAGUAUGAUGACGUGCGGAACAGAGCUGCCGAGCUCUCAUGCAUUUGAUCCUCUUCUCACGCCACACCUCUUAAAUCUUAAACGCAUUGAAAAGUACCGCUUUUUUUCUUAGCUUUUUCGAAUGACUCAAUUGUACAGUCAGUGCGUUUUCUUUUCAGCUGUCCUCCGCAUCGUUUUGAAAUCGGAGCAUCUGCGCUUGCAUUUAAACAUCACGAGCCACCCUGGUCUCAGAGAAUUUCGUAUUAUUAUGUAGAAGAGGUGGAUGAAGGGUUGCCCUCCCAGCAGCCAUGAUGCCCUGAAGAGCUGACUGGAGUCUGUACCAGAACCUAGGUACUGUGACACACACGCACACACUGUGACGCGCACUCACACACCGAAAAACACGCACAGACAUACAACGUGACACACUUACACACACCCCCACACCGAGACACACACAUUCCCUUGAAAAAUCCUGAGAUGCACAGUGUCCUAUUUUACUUGUGUGUUUACUGCCAGUCUUAACCUUGUACAAAAUUACUGAUCGUUAACUGCUCUGUCUCACACACUUCUGUCGUGGACGUGUUCUCUCUUGCAGUCGAGUCGGUUCGACAUCUCACUAUGGGACACGCCCUCUUUUGAGGGUCAUUGGUUGAAGCCUUAUUCAAUCAUGCCUAACAGGCAAAUCAGAGCUUUAUGGAUGUAAUCACU